ACCCUCCACCCCAUCCUCUUCUCUGUAAGCCUCUGUUACUGCUAUCAACCUUCAACAAUAGUCGUCAGUUUAGGCCUAGAGAGAAUCUGUAUUUGCUGACAAAUACCUUUGUUGACUCAGUUAACAACAUCUACAUGAGUUACCAAAACCAAAUGCUGGAGUGCGCACCCUUUGCAUCUACAUGACACCUCCAGCUACUAUGCCUCUCUCUGUCUCUGUAGUUCCCCCAGCCCCCAGAGCCCUCCAUGUCUCCGUUUCCUUUCACAGGUCUGAUAUGUAUCUGUCUCCACAACCCUCACUAUGACUGAAGUGCCUGUCUCAUCGCUUCACUGGCUUUAGCUUUUGGUCAAUACCUGCUAAUGAUGUCCACAGUCCUUGAUCGAUUACUUGGGAAACUGUGGGUAAAUAUACUUGCCAACGAAGUUAUGCAGGGGAGACAGGCUGACUGAAACCGUGAAGGUAAUCUAGGAAGAUCAGAAGGAAGAGACACAAUCCUGUGGAAAGAUGUGGAAGUUGUGAGAAGGUUGUCAGGGUGGAUGCUAAGUGCUCAGAGACCAUCUGGAGAGUUUGAUCACAGAGCCACCUGACUAGGACAGUCUCCUAUUUGUCACUCAGAGGUCCUUCCACUCUGUUGUGUGGCGUGGAAAUAAAUACAAUAAACAGACAAGUACAACGUGAUGAAUAAAAUCUCUGUAAUUCCACCACAGAGAAACAAGGAAUGAAACGUAGAAACAUCUGUGCUGUGAUCCUGCUGGAAAAGUGUUUGCAUUAGUGGAAAAUGCCAGUGGAAGUUAAUCACCAGGGAACAUUUGAUACCAACACUGUUGUCGUGCAAAUUCUCUGGGAUUCCCCUGAGCAGAUUCACGAGGCGAUGGACAAAGUGAAGCAGAGCAUCAGGAGGUGGUGGGAAGACAACUAGACUGUGAUCCACACAGCAGAAACAUUGGAUAAUCUGUAUAAACCCGUGGAUGUUGUUUACCAGGCAAUGCUUAAUCCUAAAACUGUGGUUGUGAGAAUGCUUUGGGAUUCAUCGGAGAAGAUUCAGGAGCAGCCCUGCUACAAGGAAGCAGUAGACAAAGUCAAACAGAGCAUCAGGACAUGGCAGGAUUAUUCAAAGGAUACGUCUGCGUUCACCACCUAGCAAUGGACCAGUGGUAGGUUCCCUUAAUCAGGUGUGUGUUCCUGACUGGACCGAAGUAAAUGUGAUUAUUUCAUUAACCUAUUUCAUCCAGUCAGCUGAUGCUCUGUUUCCCUGGUGUAGAAGAAUACUAAGAAGAAAAUUAAAAUUUGUUUUCAAGCAUUGCUUAAGACUUUGGUGAUGAGGGUGAGAGGAUAAGAUGCAGACACUGCCUUGUUCAUACUAGCGAACAAUAGCUAGAAAUAGAUCAUGCCAGUGAUGAGGUAUUGUUAAUUUUUUUUUCUGUGAUUGUCUCGCUGAUAGAGGAACUGGCUGUAGAUGUGCAAUUCUAACUUUGUGACUCGCACGGGGACAUUGGCAGACUUGCUGAUACCUAACAAGUAAAUCUUGAAAUCGCUUGUAAAGUAUGUUUAGCUGUUGGCUAUUGCCCUAAAUUUACUGUGUAAAGUUAAGAAGUAAUUUGACAUUGAUGGGGUUUUAAGGGAAUGGCUGCCCAUGAUC